AGAGUUUGAUCCUGGCUCAGAUUAAACGCUGGCGGCAUGCCUUACACAUGCAAGUCGAACGGCAGCACGGGGGCAACCCUGGUGGCGAGUGGCGAACGGGUGAGUAACAUAUCGGAACAUACCCUAGAGUGGGGGAUAACGUAGCGAAAGUUACGCUAAUACCGCAUACGAUCUAAGGAUGAAAGUGGGGGGAUCUUCGGACCUCAUGCUCAUGGAGUGGCCGAUAUCUGAUUAGCUAGUUGGUGAGGUAAAGGCUCACCAAGGCGACGAUCAGUAGCUGGUUUGAGAGAACGACCAGCCACACUGGAACCGAGACACGGUCCGGACUCCUACGGGAGGCAGCAGUGGGGAAUUUUGGACAAUGGGGGCAACCCUGAUCCAGCAAUGCCGCGUGAGUGAAGAAGGCCUUCGGGUUGUAAAGCUCUUUUGUCAGGGAAGAAACGGUGAGUUCUAAUACAGCUUGCUAAUGACGGUACCUGAAGAAUAAGCACCGGCUAACUACGUG
rnacentral:rRNA from 1 species